AGCUCCAAGAGCGUAUAUUAAAGUUGUUGCAGUUAAAAAUAUCGUAGUUGGAUUUCUGGUACAAUGCGCCUGACCCGCGGCAGUAAUGCCUGUGAGUGUCGGUGCGCGUUUACUAUCCUUCUAGAAAACGUUUCUACCCUUUACCGGGCCGGACUCGCGAUCUAUUUCUUUUACUUUGAAAAAAUUAGAGUGUUCAAAGCAGGCUUUCGCUGUGAAUACAUUACCAUUGAAUAAUAUUCUAGGACUUCGGUUUUAUUUUGUAGGUUUCUAACACUGAAGUAAUGAUUGAUAGAGAUAGUGGGGGGUGCUAGUAUUGGCCGGCUAGAGGUGAAAUUCGUGGAUUCGGUCAAGACUAACUUAUGCGAAAGCAUUCACCAAGGAUGUCUUCU
rnacentral:rRNA from 1 species